rnacentral:rRNA from 1 species
CGCGAGAGUAAGCUAAUCUCUUAAAGCCGUCUCAGUUCGGACUGUAGGCUGCAACUCGCCUACAUGAAGCUGGAAUCGCUAGUAAUCGCAGAUCAGAAUGCUGCGGUGAAUACGUUCCCGGGUCUUGUACACACCGCCCGUCACACCAUGGGAGCCGGGAAUGCCCGAAGUCGGUGACCCAACCGUAAGGAGGGAGCCGCCGAAGGCAGGCCUGGUAACUGGGGUGAAGUCGUAACAAGGUAUC